GCGAUGAAGGACGUGACUAACUACGAUAUGCCUCGGUUAGCUGUAAGUAAGCUUACCCGGGGGUUUCCGAAUGGGGCAACCCGAUCUUAAUGAUCAUCAUCUUUUUGAAUUCAUAGAUUAGAUGAAGCAAACGCUGUGAACUGAAACAUCUAAGUAGCAGUAGGAAAGUAAAGAAAUUUCGAUUCCGUCAGUAGCGGCGAGCGAACGCGGAAGAGCCCAAACCUGGAUGCUUGCAUCCAGGGGUUGUAGGACUGAUGUUGAGUUACAAAGGUAUAAGAUAGCAGAAACAGUUGGGAAGCUGUUCCAAAGAGGGUGACAGGCCCGUAUGCGAAAUCUUGUACUCUCUAAUCAGGAUCCUGAGUACGGCCCAGCACGUGAAAUUGGGUCGGAAUCUGGGAGGACCAUCUCCCAAGGCUAAAUACUAACUAGUGACCGAUAGCGAACAAGUACCGUGAGGGAAAGGUGAAAAGAACCCCGGAAGGGGAGUGAAAUAGUUCUUGAAACCGUGUGCUUACAAGAAGUUCGAGGCCGUUAAUGGCUGAGAGCGUGCUUUUUGUAGAAUGAACCGGAGAGUUACGAUUGCGUGCAAGGUUAAGGUGCAAAGACUGGAGCCGUAGCGAAAGCGAGUCUUAAUAGGGCGAAUCAGUACGUAGUUGUAGACCCGAAACCGAGUGACCUAUCC
rnacentral:rRNA from 1 species